UACGGUUAAAUCACACUGAAACACCGGUUCUCGUUCGAUCACCGAAGUUAAGCAUCGUAGAGCCAGGUCAGUACUUAGAUGGGGGACCGCUUGGGAACACCUGGUACUGUAAG
rnacentral:rRNA from 1 species